UUUAAAACAAUGCAAGCGAAGUGGCUGCUGCAUUGUUUGCAUGUUUUUGGGAAACAAUAGCGAUUUCCCAUAAUAUGAUUAGGGGUUUGUUGUAGGACCAUGUAAGGUUGUUUCAUAACUCGUGGAUGAUUUUUAUUGGACGUAAAUGUGGUGCAAUACUAAAGCUUGUAGUUUGUAAAGUUUUAUGUGAAAUUCUGUUGGGAAGAUUCUCUAUGAACGAAACAUAAAGAAUUACCGGUUGCAGAAUUACAAAAUGUGGGGGGUCACACCGGGUACAUACGCUACAAUAAAUGGAAAUUCGAUAAUGGAGGAUAGCCACUUGAGUAUGAACACUUUAAACAGGAGA